rnacentral:rRNA from 1 species
CACGUAGGGGACGAGCGUUGUCCGGAUUCAUUGGGCGUAAAGCGCGCGUAGGCGGCUCGGAAAGUCGGGCGUGAAAUGCCGGGGCUCAACCCCGGGACUGCGUCUGAUACUGGAUGGCUUGAAUCCGGGAGAGGGAUGCAGAAUUCCAGGUGUAGCGGUGAAAUGCGUAGAUAUCUGGAGGAAUACCGGUGGCGAAGGCGGCAUCCUGGACCGGCAUUGACGCUGAGGAGCGAAAGCCAGGGGAGCAAACGGG